CAUGACUCCACCCAUCAACCUUAAAGUCCUCUUUGGGGAGGAGCUAGAGAGGGUUAUAACUUGGGGAGUGGUAGAAGACAAAAUUGUCCCACGGACAAUAAAGAACAACCUGGUUGCCAUAGUAACCGAUGCCAGGACUGUUUCAAAAACAAGUUUUUGACGAGAAAAAAAAAAAAAAAAAAAAAUUGGAAUAAAACAUUUAUUUUCAAGAAAUAUACCCUUGAGGGUAACCCCCCCCCCCGCUACAGACUGAUGAUUGGAAGGCAGACAAUGCUGUUUAAAACAGCAGGGAUUGAGGUUGAGGACAGCCUCAUUCAAAGUGGGAGGCUGCUCCUCAACCCUCCCUCAAAGAUGGCUUCUGUUUCUGUUAUAUUCACAUGUUAACUUACUAAAUGCCUUGUUUCUUUGUAGUUUGAACAUAAAUUGAUGAGAUCACCUGGUAAAUGACUGACCAUCAUAAUCUACUAUUUACACCAACUCUUCUUUAAUCCAGCUUUCAGAUGCCAGAAUGGUGUGUGUGAAGGGGAAAGACGUUACCAUGGCAACGGUUACUAUGCUAGAGCUGUCGGUAAAAGCAAAGGUCAAAUCAAUGGUCAUUCUGCCCAGGCUGACUAGUCGAUACCUGAUCACAUGAUUCCUCUUCUCUUGGAGGGAAAGUUAAAAAUGGGAGACGUGGAUGAAUUGAGAAGAGGCGUUCAACGACAGUUAUUUGCAAUAUCUCGGUAUGUGGAGGAAAAUUCUCCAAUGGACUAUAUUUUAAGGUUGGUGGAAGAUGUCAUGGAAAGUCUUGGAGAAAUAUCUGCGCUGACAAAUGCAGACAUGGACGAAGCUGUGUGGUGCAAUCUUGAGGAGUCAGCAGAGGACCCCAACACUUACCUUCAAUCAAGACCCUUGGUCAGCCCUGUGGUGAUUGUCUGUGAGACAAACUGCAUCCUGGUCAUUGGAACAGUUCCUCUGCUGACUUUCCCCAAAGAAGACCUCAGUGAAAGCGUGAUGUAUCUUCUUGGCUGUUAUUACACCUUUCACCUCACAUAUCCCAAGUGCAUUGCUACCCUCCUGUCUGUGCUACAGACAGAGGUUUUGUUAGAUGCCAUCCAUGAGAAGGACAUGACUACUUCCUACAAAAAAUCUAUGGCUGAAUGGAGAAAGUUUCAUGAUUAAGACAGUUUAAACAUCAGUUUUAGUUGAAGUAGUUCAGCAGCAUUAAGUCCCUCCUUUUAAAAUGUGGCUCCUGUUCAAUGAUGUUAAACUACAGUCGUGUGGGGCUAUUGGUUAUUGCUCUGGUUU
rnacentral:lncRNA from 1 species